rnacentral:rRNA from 1 species
UGGCGAACGGUCGCGUAACACGUAAGAAACCUGCCCAAGAGUGGGGGACAACGAUCCGAAAGGGUCGCUAAUACCGCAUACAGACACCGAUCGGCAUCGGUUGGUGUCCAAAGCUUGAUGCGCUUUUGGAUGGUCUUGCGGCCUAUCAGGUAGAUGGUGGGGUAACGGCCUACCAUGCCGACGACGGGUAGCUGGUCUGAGAGGACGAUCAGCCGGAUUGGGACUGAGAUACGGCCCAGACUCCUACGGGGGGCAGCAAUUAGGAAUCUUGCGCAAUGGACGAAAGUCUGACGCAGCGACGCCGCGUGAGGGAUGACGGCAUUCGUGUUGUAAACCUCUUUUGUCGGGGAAGAAAAAAAUGACGGUACCCGGCGAAUAAGCCCCGGCUAACUACGUGCCAGCAGCCGCGGUAAUACGUAGGGGGCGAGCGUUGUCCGAAGUUACUGGGCGUAAAGCGCGCGUAGGCGGCUUUUUAAGUCUGGGGUGAAAGGUUCAACGCUUAACGUGAACAGUGCCUUGGAUAC